UACGUAGGGGGCGAGCGUUGUCCGGAGUUACUGGGCGUAAAGCGCACGCAGGCGGUCUGCUAAGUUUGGAGUGACAGUUGGUGGCUUAACUGCCAAAGUGCUUCGAAAACUGACAGACUUGAGGGCUUCAGAGGGACACGGAAUUCCGGGUGGAGUGGUGAAAUGCGCAGAUAUCAGGAGGAACACCGGUGGCGAAGGCGGGUCUCUGGGCAAUAACUGACGCUGAGGAGCGAAAGCGUGGGGAGCGAACAGG
rnacentral:rRNA from 1 species